CCCUUAGAUGUCCUGGGCCGCACGCGCGCUACACUGACAUGUUCAACAAGCCUCCUAGUUCGACAGGAUUUGGGAAAUCUUUGAACGCAUGUCGUGAUAGGGAUAGAUCAUUGCAAUUAUUGAUCUUGAACGAGGAAUUCCUAGUAAACGCGAGUCAUCAGCUCGCAUUGAUUACGUCCCUGCCCUUGUACACACCGCCCGUCGCACCUACCGAUUGAAUGUUUCGGUGAAGAUUCCGGAUAGGACUUUUUUGAUUUAUUUCAAUUUUGUCUUAAAAGCUAUCUAAACCUCAACAUUUAGAGGAAGGUGAAGUCGUAACA
rnacentral:rRNA from 1 species